rnacentral:ncRNA from 1 species
GAUUUCUGCCCAGUGCGCUGAAUGUCAAUGCGAUGAAUUUCAAUAACGCGCGGGUUAACGGCGGAUGUAAUUGUGACGUUAAUUUUGAAAGGCUAGGUAGGUUUUGGAGCGAGAGCCCUGCCUCCUCAAAAGUGAAAGUUCAGAAUGUUCUGAAGGAGCCUCAAGUCCUACCGCACCCCCUACCGCAGAGCCAACCGUUUUCAAGCGUUAUUAAAUUAUGUUUUACAUAGUGUGGAUGUGCGUUAUUACUUCAUUAGACCGUCGUACAGUCAGUGUUGUGUUUGCAUGAGAGCAGGCAACGCGUCCUAUUCGUCCUGUACCGUUGUCGGCUACAUGGAACCCCGCAGGUACUUCCGAUGUAGCCAGUGCCAGCUUCACGUUGGAUAGCCCGUGCUACGGUCUUCGCAAUAUCUAACACCUGUGUAAGCACCUGCUUGUUUUGUUGUGCAAUACAAUCCAGGGAUCCGUAGACCAAUGCGUGCCCUGUCACUCGAUACCCACGUGUUUCACAGUGUCUCUUGAGGUUGCAGUACUUCUUUGUGAAUACGGGCCGCUCCAAGCGAGCACUUGUUGUGGUCUUCGUAGACAACAGCACCUGCUGUGGUCGUCAUCUUACGUUAGUCGUGUCUGAAAUUGCCUGGGUUCAGGAAGGUCACCAUGUCUUCGGGGGUACUAUCAAUCUUGAUUGUCUUCCUGUUCGCCAAGCUGUCCUUGAUAGCCGCUGUUAUCUCCUCCAGUGCCCUACUGUGUCUUGUCGUUUUUUUGAUGUCUAGGUACUGCGGGCAUAAUUAAGGGCCUGAAAGAAGGUUUCAGGGUUAGCCGUGCAGUGGCAGCAGAGUGAUAUGCUAGAGACUUUAAACUUCUUGAGGCAUGCUCUAGCAAUAAACUGUUCAGCUCCUGCUCUCAGUGCGAACUAGACUUCCUCUGGGUUCAGGCGAGUCGGUACCCUGGGAAAACGGUUGCUCUGCUGUCUGGUGGGCCCCGGAUUUCCCUUGAUCUACCUUCUCCAUCCACACAUCUCGCUACCACCCUGUUAUAUGCUGGUGUUUCUUAUGGGAUCCUGCUGCUCUAAGCUGGAGCCAUAUGCUUCUUUAACAACGUAAGACCCGUCACUUCCAGUCUCGAUUUGCAUCUUGCCCACCGAUAUAUCGUAGACAAAUGCCUCGUCAUAUCAUUAUUGACACACAUGAAUGAAU